GCCUGCCCUGUGAUUUUUUUAACGGCCGCGGUAUCCUGACCGUGCGAAGGUAGCGUAAUCAUUUGUCUUUUAAUUGAAGACCUGUAUGAAAGGCAUCACGAGAGUUUAUCUGUCUCUAUUUUCUAAUCAAUGAAAUUGACUUUCUCGUGCAGAGACGAGAAUAACAACAUAGGACGAGAAGACCCUAUGGAGCUUUAAACACCUAAGUUAAUUAUUUUUCCCAUCUCCUCCACGGACAUAAAACAAUAUAAAUAAAUAUAACUUAACCUGUUUUCGGUUGGGGCAACCAAGGAGAAAAACAAAACCUCCUUACCGACUGAGUACUAUCUGUACUUUAAAAUUAGAGUGAACAACUCUGAUUAAUAGAACAUCUAUCGAACAAUGACCCAGGAUAAUUAAACAUCCUGAUCAAUGAACCAAGUUACCCUAGGGAUAACAGCGCAAUCCUUUCUUAUAGUCCCUAUCGCCGAAAGGGUUUACGACCUCGUUGUUGGACCAUGACAUCCUACCGGUGUAACCGCUGUUAUGGGUCGUUCGUUCAAAAAUAACAGACCUAUCCGCGCUAAGU
rnacentral:rRNA from 1 species